UUGAAAGCCGAUCGCGAGAGCCGGAGCAAGUAUAUUUUACUGUCAUAAAAUCUUUGUCCUAGUAUCAAAGUGCUGCGGAAACUAAUAUGCGCUCUUGUUCAUAGCCGGGGACAAUGCCCAAGUGGCGGAGCUCCUGAAGCGCGUCGCCGAGGUUCAAGAUGAGAAGACUCGGCUAGCAAAUCAGCACCAGGAGGACGUGGCUCGGCUGCAGGCGCCAAUUGCGGCGCAAGCGGAGGCGCAUAAGACCGAGGUGGGUGAACUCACCUCGGCCCUAUCUACCUAGGCUGAUGAGAGGAUCCGUCUGGAGAACGAGGUGCAGAAGUGCAAGGGUCUGGUCACCGAGAUUGAGACCCGCGCCAUUGCCGCCGAGAAAGAGGAUGCUGAGAAGACCCGGCUGUUCAAGGUUGUACGGCAUGAGCUUGUCAAGAUCGACACUAUGCUGACCAAAUUCUUUCCACAAUCAGUCGAGACCGCCCAAGCUGCCGUGCUCAAGGCCUCAACGAGUGGCAGGAAUCGGCCGCGCGUGUCGGCGCCGACGAGGCCUUGUCGUUCAUACUGUCAUGGUACGACGCAAUCAACCUCGAUGUGCUGCAGUCAUUGCGUGCCGGUUCCCCCUACCUCUCGGACCCGGAGCUGAUUGCCAAGCGCAAGGAGCGGGCCUAUUCCUUCAUCCAGUAUGCCGACGUGCAUACGUUUGUUGAGGGCCCAACAUCCGAAGCUGAGGCCGAGAUGACCGACGGCGAUGAAGAGGAGGCAGUGGACGAGGAGAUUGUCGUCGAGUCGGCCUCCACUGCGACGGAUGCUCCGAGUUCCGGCACCAACAACCCUCUGUUUCUUCUUAGCUUUGCCGGAAAAAAGAACUACCCUUUUGGA